rnacentral:rRNA from 1 species
UAAGGAAUAUUGGUCAAUGGACGCAAGUCUGAACCAGCCAUGCCGCGUGGAGGAUGAAGGUCCUCUGGAUUGUAAACUUCUUUUAUCUGGGAAGAAACCGGACUUUUCUAAGGCCGUUGACGGUACCAGGUGAAUAAGCACCGGCUAACUCCGUGCCAGCAGCCGCGGUAAUACGGAGGGUGCAAGCGUUAUCCGGAUUCACUGGGUUUAAAGGGUGCGUAGGUGGGAUGGUAAGUCCGUGGUGAAAUCUCCAAGCUUAACUUGGAAACUGCCGUGGAUACUAUCAUUCUUGAAUCUCGUGGAGGUAAGCGGAAUAUGUCAUGUAGCGGUGAAAUGCUUAGAUAUGACAUAGAACACCGAUAGCGAAGGCAGCUUGCUACACGAGUAUUGACACUGAGGCACGAAAGCGUGGGGAUCAAACAG